AUGAACGCUAGCGACAGGCUUAACACAUGCAAGUCGAGGGGCAGCAUGGUAGGUAGCAAUACUUAUUGAUGGCGACCGGCGCACGGGUGAGUAACGCGUAUGCAACUUACCUAUCAGAGGGGGAUAGCCCGGCGAAAGUCGGAUUAAUACUCCAUAAAACAGGGGUCCCGCAUGGGACUAUUUGUUAAAGAUUCAUCGCUGAUAGAUAGGCAUGCGUUCCAUUAGGCAGUUGGCGGGGUAACGGCCCACCAAACCGACGAUGGAUAGGGGUUCUGAGAGGAAGGUCCCCCACAUUGGUACUGAGACACGGACCAAACUCCUACGGGAGGCAGCAGUGAGGAAUAUUGGUCAAUGGCCGAGAGGCUGAACCAGCCAAGUCGCGUGAAGGAUGAAGGAUCUAUGGUUUGUAAACUUCUUUUAUAGGGGAAUAAAGUGUGGGACGUGUCCCAUUUUGUAUGUACCCUAUGAAUAAGCAUCGGCUAACUCCGUGCCAGCAGCCGCGGUAAUACGGAGGAUGCGAGCGUUAUCCGGAUUUAUUGGGUUUAAAGGGUGCGUAGGUGGUAAUUUAAGUCAGCGGUGAAAGUUUGUGGCUCAACCAUAAAAUUGCCGUUGAAACUGGGUUACUUGAGUGUGUUUGAGGUAGGCGGAAUGCGUGGUGUAGCGGUGAAAUGCAUAGAUAUCACGCAGAACUCCAAUUGCGAAGGCAGCUUACUAAACCAUAACUGACACUGAAGCACGAAAGCGUGGGUAUCAAACAGGAUUAGAUACCCUGGUAGUCCACGCAGUAAACGAUGAUUACUAGGAGUUUGCGAUACACAGUAAGCUCUACAGCGAAAGCGUUAAGUAAUCCACCUGGGGAGUACGCCGGCAACGGUGAAACUCAAAGGAAUUGACGGGGGCCCGCACAAGCAGUGGAGUAUGUGGUUUAAUUCGAAGCAACGCGAAGAACCUUACCAGGUCUUGACAUCCUACUAACGAGAUAGAGAUAUGUUAGGUGCCCUUCGGGGAAAGUAGAGACAGGUGGUGCAUGGUUGUCGUCAGCUCGUGUCGUGAGAUGUUGGGUUAAGUCCCGCAACGAGCGCAACCCUUAUCGAUAGUUACCAUCAGGUUAUGCUGGGGACUCUGUCGAGACUGCCGUCGUAAGAUGUGAGGAAGGUGGGGAUGACGUCAAAUCAGCACGGCCCUUACGUCCGGGGCUACACACGUGUUACAAUGGGGGGUACAGAAGGCGGCUACCUGGUGACAGGAUGCUAAUCCCAAAAACCUCUCUCAGUUCGGAUCGAAGUCUGCAACCCGACUUCGUGAAGCUGGAUUCGCUAGUAAUCGCGCAUCAGCCAUGGCGCGGUGAAUACGUUCCCGGGCCUUGUACACACCGCCCGUCACACCAUGAGAGUUGGGGAUACCCGAAGCCUGUGAGCCAACAGUUAAAUGGGGCAGCAGUCGAAGGUAGAAUCAAUGAUUGGGGUG
rnacentral:rRNA from 1 species